rnacentral:rRNA from 1 species
GAUGAACGCUGGCGGCGUGCCUAAUACAUGCAAGUCGAGCGAACAGACGAGGAGCUUGCUCCUCUGACGUUAGCGGCGGACGGGUGAGUAACACGUGGAUAACCUACCUAUAAGACUGGGAUAACUUCGGGAAACCGGUGCUAAUACCGGAUAAUAUAUUGAACCGCAUGGUUCAAUAGUGAAAUACGGUUUUGCUUUCACUUAUAGAUGGAUCCGCGCCGCAUUAGCUAGUUGGUAAGGUAACGGCUUACCAAGGCAACGAUGCGUAGCCGACCUGAGAGGGUGAUCAGCCACACGGGAACUGAGACACGGUCCAGACUCCUACGGGAGGCAGCAGUAGGGAAUCUUCCGCAAUGGGCGAAAGCCUGACGGAGCAACGCCGCGUGAGUGAUGAAGGUCUUCGGAUCGUAAAACUCUGUUAUUAGGGAAGAACAAAUGUGUAAGUAACUAUGCACGUCUUGACGGUACCUAAUCAGAAAGCCACGGCUAACUACGUG